rnacentral:rRNA from 1 species
GUACGGGAGACAUAAGAGUGCACGGUGGAUGCCUUGGCCUAGGACGGCUAUGAAGGACGCGACUAACCUGCGAAAAGCUUCGGGGAGGCGGUUUGUAGCCUUUGAUCCGGAGAUAUCCGAAUGGGGAAACCCUCCAGUUUCGAACUGGAAUUCGCGGGGUAACGCCCGCGUAAAGCGAACCCGGGGAAGUGAAACAUCUCAGUACCCGGAGGAAAAGAGAACAAUAUGAGUUGCGUUCAGUCCGCGCGUUAUGUUCGUGCGGGUUGAACGCAACUCGCGUGAUACCCUGAGUAGCGGCGAGCGAAAAGGGAAAAGCCCAAACCGCUGUCUUCGGAUAGCGGGGUUGUAAGAUGUGAACAUCGUACUUGUACGAGAGGAGUUAUCAAUCGUCUGUAUAGCAGAAGCUGUUGGGAAGCAGCGCCCCAGAGGGUAAUGGCCCCGUAUGCGAAAUACAUGACGACUUCUGUUUAUAUUCUUGAGUAACUCGAGACACGAAUAGCUCGAGUGAAUCUGCCGGAACUAACCGGUAAGGCUAAAUACGUCCUAUGACCGAUAGUGAACUAGUACCGUGAGGGAAAGGUGAAAAGAACCCCGAGAGGGGAGUGAAAUAGACCUGAAACCGUGUACUUACAAGGGGUUGGAGCGGAUGCUUGCAUCCGUGACAGCAUGCCUAUUGAAGAAUGAGCCGGCGAGUGUAUAUAUCUUGCGCAGCUAAGCCCUUCCGGGGCGGAGCUUAAGGGAAACCGAGCGUGAAUAGCGCGUCUGUAGGAUAUAUACGACCCGAAGCCAGAUGAGCUUGCCAUGAGCAGGGUGAAGUUUGUCGAAAGACAGAUGGAGGCCCGAACCCGUAGGUCGUACAACGCCUUGGGAUGACUUGUGGUAAGGAGUGAAAAGCUAAUCGAAUCUGGGAAUAGCUGGUUCUCUCCGAAACAGCUUUUGGGCUGGCGUUGCCAUAUCGUGUGUGUGGGGGUAGAGCACUGGCAGGGACCAACAGGGAGAAAUCUCGUGGCCCCUAUCAAACUCCGAAUACCACACACUCGGGCAGCAGUUAGAAGGUGGGGGCGAAGCUCCAUCGAUCGAGAGGGGAAGAGCCCUGAUCGCCACUUAAGGCCCCAAAAUCGACAUUCAGUACAUCACAAGGAAGUGAGGAUCCAUAGACAGUGAGGAUGUUGGCUUAGAAGCAGCCAUCAUUUAAAGAAAGCGUAACAGCUCACUCAUCGAGGGUUCUUGCGCCGAAGAUGAUCGGGGUUAAAUGUCGUGCCGAAAUUGCGGGUGUGCGAUUCUUUAGAGAGUCGUACGCGGUAGGAGAGCGUUCUGUUCGCGCUGAAGCUUAAGGGGUAACCCAAGGUGGAGCGUACAGAAGUGAGAAUGCCGGUACAAGUAACCACAAUGCGGGUGAGAACCCCGCACGUCGAAAGACCGAGGUUUCCUCAGCUAUGGUGAUCAACUGAGGGUUAGUCGGGCCUAAGGGGAUGGCGAGAGCCGCACCCGAUGGACACACGGUUAAUAUUCCGUGACCGUUUAUAGAGGCUAAGGAGUGACGGACUGCUGUAUGUGCUGCCGGUAAUUGGAUUCCGGUCACUACUGUGAGGGCGCGCGCUAGGGAAAUCCGGCGCGCAUUAUCCCGAGCAGUGGCGCAAUUUUCUCCCUCGGGGGAAGAGAGAGGGCAAAGCGCGGUUUCAAGAAAAUCUUCUACGCAUCAACUCUAUAGACGCCCGUACCGCAUACCGACACAGGUGGUCCGGUCGAGAAGACCAAGACGAACGAGUAAGAUGUCCUCAAGGAACUCGGCAAAAAAGCGGCCGUAAGUUAGCGAUAAGGCCUGCCCCUUGCCUGCAAGGGUGGGGGGCCGCAGUGAAAGUUUUUCUGGCAACUGUUUACCAAAAACACAGCUCCCUGCAAACUCGUAAGAGGAAGUAUAGGGGGUGACACCUGACCAAUGCCGAAAGGUUAACCAUGGUGGGUGCUACUACUUCGGUGGUAGUGCUGGACUAUGUAAGCCCCGGUGAAUGUCGGCGAUAACUAUAAUCGUCCUAAGGUUCGCGGCACGACUUUACAGUCGUGCCGCGAAGGACUAGGACGGUUAUAGGGUGAACAGAUGUACACCAAGUUACCUGAGUAUGGAGUAAUCCGUAUUCCGUCCAACAAUGACUCCGAGAGGCCAUACGUCAUAACCCAGUCCUAGUUUUUCGAAACUGGAGCUGGGACAAGAUAUGGUCCUUCGCGUGCUAAAAGGAAUCGAAGAGCGUAAUUCCUUGUCGGGUAAGUUCCGACGUGCACGAAUGGUGUAAUGACUGGAAAACUGUCUCGAGGACUCGCUCGGUGAAAAUGCACUUCCGGUGAAGAUGCCGGAUACCUGUAGUUAGACGAAAAGACCCCAGGAGCUUUACUACAGCUUCGUAUUGGCAUUGUGUGCUGCAUGCGUAGCAUAGAUGGGAGACUUUGAAGCAUACCUUUCGGGGGAUGUGGAGUCGCCAAUGAAAUACCAUUCUUGUUGUGUGCAAUGUCUAACCUUGUUGGGAUCCAACAGGGGACCGUGCGUGGCGGGUAGUUUUGGUGGGGCGCUAUCCUCCUAAAAAGUAACGGAGGAGUCUAUUAAGGUUCUCUAGCCGCGAAUGGAAACCGUGGCGAUAGUGUAAGAGCAAAAGAGAGCUUAACUGCAAGAGGUACAUCUCGAGCAGAUGCGAAAGCAGAGUCUAGUGAACCGAUGGUACGCCUUAGAUGCGGCCAGAGAUUAACGGAUAUAAGUUACCCUGGGGAUAACAGGCUAGUUCCGCCCAAGCGUCCAUAGCGACGGCGGAGUUCGGCACCUCGAUGUCGGCUCACCUUAGCGCGGGGGUGGAGAAGCUCCCAAGCGUUUGGCUGUUCGCCAAUUAAAAAGGUACGCGAGCUGGGUUCAAACCGUUCAGCGGUUGAAUCAGCAGAUUCACCUACUGGGUGAUUGCAAAAUUCGACAAUUGAACGGUUUGAACCCACGAGGAUGUUACGUGCGUGGAGACGCAUGGUGCGAUAGACAUACUUACGGCGGUCGUUUGCAGGAAUGCAGACGUUAGCAAAUCAACUAAUAUCGGUGAAACCCAAUCUCGUUGUGUACGAGAGGGCAAUACCGAGGGAAGAGUUGUUAGAAAAAAUGCGUACCCGUAUCGAUUACGAUACGGCUGCUCGUUCGGAGAAUAAGAAUAUGAGAUUACUCACAUUCUUAUUUCCUCACUUCACACCCGUAGAGACUGAAUGUUGAUCAUCGAGAACCGAUGAAGUUACAGUCCGAUCCUCCGAGUAAUUGGAGAAAAUCCACUACCGCUUUUCUUUUAAGCAGUAGUGGGCAACGUAGAUGCGUGAGACAGGUUGGUCUCCUAUCUACUACAGGCGUUGAUUCUUGCGGAGGGUUGUCCCUAGUACGAGAGGACCGGGAUGAACUGACCUCUGGUCUGCCAGCUGUCCUGCCAAGGGCACCGCUGGGUAGCUAUGUCGGGUGACGAUAACCGCUGAAAGCAUAUAAGCGGGAAACGUGCUCCAAGAUUAGGAAUCGUUAUGAGACUCCUAGGAGAUGACUAGGUUGAUAGGCUCUAGGUGGAAGCGCCGCAAGGUGUGGAGCCGAGGAGUACUAAUAUGUCCAGUCUCCCGUGCGG